CACGAGAGAAGGAAGACAGUCCACCUGCCCAUAGUCUUGUAAACCAUAGUCUUUUAAAUUUGUCUUCUUGAUUUCGUUGUAAAAAAUACUCAAAAGACAAGUUUCAUGUAUCAGGAUUCUUAUUCGGAAACAAGAUCACCACCAAACAAAGGAACCGCGAAAAAGGAACUCCAUCAAGGAGUUUUUCCUUGCAAGGCUGGCUGAGUAACGCUUGGGCCUCGCUCAGAAUUCUUUACAUCAACACCACCAUCAAGAAGUACCUUUGGAGUGGAAGGAGAUGAGGCAGUCACACAGUGGCCAGUUUUCCACUGACUCAUUGAGGAUGACGUCCUCUGGAAAGAUGACCACGGUGAUGUACUCAAACCUGCAAAGUCUCUCCAGGAUCUGGGUCAUUGGCUUGGACUUUGACUUCUUCAUCAUGCAGCAUAUCCCCACAACAAUCUGUUGCUCAGGGGGCUGAACAAGAAUGUGAAAAAGUACAGCGAGAAAGAGACCUCGCUCUCAUCGUCUUCGCAGCCCACAAAAAAUCUGGGAGCGCCACGCCGGCUCUCGCCCGGGCUGUUGGGCUCUGACAUCACAGUCUCCCGCAGCAGCCCUCAGCGUCCCACCGCACCAUUGUACACCAACACAC